rnacentral:rRNA from 1 species
UGGGGAAUCUUGCGCAAUGCGCGAAAGCGUGACGCAGCAACGCCGCGUGGGGGAAGAAGGCCUUCGGGUUGUAAACCCCUUUCAGUUGGGACGAAGCUUCGCCGGUGAAUAGCCGGCUGGAGUGACGGUACCUUCAGAAGAAGCCCCGGCUAACUACGUGCCAGCAGCCGCGGUAAUACGUAGGGGGCAAGCGUUGUCCGGAAUCAUUGGGCGUAAAGAGCGUGUAGGCGGCUCGGUAAGUCCGCUGUGAAAGUCCAGGGCUCAACCCUGGAAUGCCGGUGGAAACUGUCGAGCUAGAGUCCGGAAGAGGCGAGUGGAAUUCCUGGUGUAGCGGUGAAAUGCGCAGAUAUCAGGAGGAACACCAAUGGCGAAGGCAGCUCGCUGGGACGGUACUGACGCUGAGACGCGAAAGCGUGGGGAGCAAACAGGAUUAGAUACCCUGGUA